rfam:Tncultured methanogenic archaeon RC-I complete genome
GCCCCGAUAGGGUAGUGGAUAUCCUUGAAGCCUGCGGAGCUUUAGACCUGGGUUCGAAUCCCAGUCGGGGCG